UACAGAGGGGGCAAGCGUUAUUCGGAAUUAUUGGGCGUAAAGGGCGCGUAGGCGGCCAGGCAAGUGGAAGGUGAAAUCCCUCGGCUUAACCGAGGAACUGCCCUCCAAACUGCUUGGCUUGAGACCGGGAGAGGUGAGUGGAAUUCCCAGUGUAGCGGUGAAAUGCGUAGAUAUUGGGAGGAACACCAGUGGCGAAGGCGGCUCACUGGACCGGUACUGACGCUGAGGUGCGAAAGCGUGGGGAGCAAACAGG
rnacentral:rRNA from 1 species